rnacentral:rRNA from 1 species
AGCGAACGCUGGCGGCAGGCCUAACACAUGCAAGUCGAACGAAGUCUUCGGACUUAGUGGCGGACGGGUGAGUAACACGUGGGAACGUGCCUUUAGGUUCGGAAUAACUCAGGGAAACUUGUGCUAAUACCGAAUGUGCCCUUCGGGGGAAAGAUUUAUCGCCGUUAGAGCGGCCCGCGUCUGAUUAGCUAGUUGGUGAGGUAAAGGCUCACCAAGGCUACGAUCAGUAGCUGGUGUGGGAGGAAGACCAGCCACAUUGGGACUGAGAGACGAGCCAAACUCCUGCGGGAGGCAGGAGUGGGGAAUCUUGCGCAAUGAGAGAAAGCCUGACGCAGCCAGGCCGCGUGGAUGAUGAAGGUCUUGGGAUUGUAAAGUCCUUUCACCGGUGAAGAUAAUGACUGUAGCCGGAGAAGAAGCCCCGGCUAACUUCGUGCCAGCCGCCGCGGUAAGAC